AGGUGCAGAAAGAUUGCGAACGAUGGCGUUCGUUUAUGGUGUUUUGUUGGUAUUACUGUAGCUCAUGAUGUCUAGCAUUUGGGGAAUGGACAAAGAUUAACGGGUGGCAUCAUUUCAUAACUUUUACCUGGCAGUAAGGUCUGUAAAAUCUACGGUUAUAUUUUGUUCUUGAGUCGUAAUUAUUUAGCCAAAAAAGAUGAAGGCGCAGCAACCAUUGCUCUAUCUCUUUGCCUCUGCUGUUAGGCGUACUUGCGGCCCAUGAAGACAGUGUUUUAUUUGCGUCAUAAAGGAUGAUGUCUACAUCCUAUUAAAUAACAACUCAUCAGCAGUAAGACUAUAAAUGAUUAAUAAGUGGAACUUUAAAUGGUAGUGGAUUUUCGACUUGAUUCUGAUAAUUAUUUUUAAAAAUUCUGAGCAGAAUAAGAAAAGGUUAUAGUGUUUGAGCCAAAAAUUUACUUUUAGAAAGACAGACUAUAAGAAUAAGUACAAAUCAUCGGGCGCUAGAGACUGUUAAGAUAUAAAUUACAUUUCCCCUUAUGUCCUUUAUAACUGUCUUUCUUGUAAAUAAUUUGUCGAAGAAAUUCCUGUAUAUAUAAACACUUAUUUAUAUCAACCUGUUUUGUUUACAAAUAG
rnacentral:lncRNA from 1 species